AAGCUUAGGUUAAUUAUAAACCCAGGACCUUCAAAGUCCUAAAUAGGGAAGUACCCCCUACCUUCUG
rnacentral:tRNA from 1 species